UUUUCCUUGGUAAGGGUAUGCAUAGUGCAGAUACCUUCUAUCUUGCGCUCCGAGUCCUAAACGCAGCGUUUCACAUUUCUAUUUCAAUGCAGAUCAAAACCCAAACACAUACCGAUAGUGUUGUUGUUUUCUGCUCCCUCGUUAUAGAAGCAUGUCAAAUUGCGUCGCUACAUGGAUAUAUAUAGUUCUAGUUCAUGAACGACGAAUUUGCAGUGAAGAAGGGAAUGGUACGUUUCAUUUGUAUUAUUUGGAACUUGAGGUUCCGAGUUACAUCCUGUUGAGAAGUUUGUGUAUUUGUUUGUGGUGUUGAAACUUGUGAUGUUUGAUUUUGGAGGGGGUCAAGGCUUUUAAAUGCGAUAAGCAUGAUUGGGAAAAAUGAACUAUUCCACUUUACUAAGGGUGUGACUAUCCAUGCUAAUCAUAGUUUAUUCUAUCUAUUGCAUAGAUAUGAUUCCUUCUCGUCCUCUCCUAUGAACCAACAGUAAAAUUCUUUUACCAGGGCAUCUUUUUGGGGGCGUUGCUGUGAUAAUCUUUCCAGUUUCCAGAAUCAGGCAUUUUGGCUAGCAAAAAAUCCUAAAUGUGUGAAUCGUAGGGACCUUACGACGUAUUAGAACUCUUCUAGAUUUGAUCCAAGCAUCCUCAUCUUUUUCUCAUGGAAAGCUCUGUAUUGUAGUGCAUCUGUUUCCCAAUAUGAUACAGGCAGUUGAGGUUUCAAACAAGAAUUUCUUGACAGGAAAUCCCAGCACCAACACUUCUUGGGGAAAUUCUUCAUGUUUCAGUUCACUGGUCAUUUUAUUGAACAAUUACUUGACCCAGAUCCUGCAACAAGGACUGCGAAUUCUGAAAGCCGAAAUUUCGUUUGUAAGUGCAGUUGAUACAUUUAGUGUGGAUAAUGUAUCCUUUGAGAGUGAUUCUUUAUUUGGUUUACCCAUAGCCACUAGGACAGAAGAUCCUAUAUCAGAUUUAAUCAUGUUGGAAUUAGAAAAGUUAAAGCUAGUGAACUAUUAGAAUCUGAGAAUGUCAUGUCUGUUCAUACAAACAAUUGCUGUGAGAGUGAGAUCAUAGUUAACAACACUGUCAAACUCUCACGCUUGCUUACAAGGGGAUGCUGAUAUAAUAUUGAUAAUUUGAUGGCCAAUGCUUACGGCAGAACAGAUAAUAAUUUUAUUUCAGUUUGUCAAUUUUAUAACAUGGGAGAUGACAAAUAAUCUAUAGGUGAAAGCUACAGAUAGAUCUGUGAGCUAUUGCCCUAGCCUACAAGAAAGCAGAUGGCAAUUCUGUGUCAAGAGAUCAUAUGAUGAGGGGGAAGAUAGCACCAUAUUAAUGGGUCAAAACUACCAACAAGAGUAGGAAAGUAACAUGCCAUUGGUUGCUCAUUCUACUGCAAAAGGAAAGAGCAUUAUGGUAUCCUUUGGAGGCUUUGAUGAUGAGGAUGAUACAACUCUCACUGGAAAAUUCAUUUCCAGUGUCUAAGAAGGCUCCUUCAAACACAUUUCCUUUAAAUGCAAGAAGUUUGCUGCUCACUGGUAUUCUGGAUGAAAUUCCUGUAAAGUAUAAGACUUGGUCGUGGCAGGUAAAUUUAGUAUCCAUGAAUUGAUCUUGCACAGUAGCUAAACCUCAAUUACUUGUCUUGUUCCUAUGCUUGCUAGAAGGAACUUUGAGGUGUCAUAAAGGUUCCGGAUAUUUAUGUAGCUGUCAGUCAUGAAAUUUUUAGAAGGUAAGCCUGUUAAAACCUGAUUCCGGAUGCAGAAUUCUUUUUGAGCUAAACUGCUGUUUCUGAUUAAUCUUACGUAUCUCUACUUCUCUAUUCAGUGAGAUGGUGGGAUUCUAGCCAAGCGCAUAGACACACAUUAUCAACUUUCAUAUCUUUGUUGUUUGUCUUUAUGGAAAAUCCUGAGUAUAGUUAACAGUUUCUUCCUUCUCACAUUGGAAGAUGCUUGUUUGUAAUCGUUUGGUGUGUGCUGACUGACUAUCAAAAGUAACUUAAGUGUUUAAAUAUUUCCAUAAC